rnacentral:rRNA from 1 species
UAAGGAAUAUUGGUCAAUGGACGCAAGUCUGAACCAGCCAUGCCGCGUGGAGGAUGAAGGUCCUCUGGAUUGUAAACUUCUUUUAUCUGGGAAGAAAUGCUCUUUUUCUAAAGAGUUUGACGGUACCAGAUGAAUAAGCACCGGCUAACUCCGUGCCAGCAGCCGCGGUAAUACGGAGGGUGCAAGCGUUAUCCGGAUUCACUGGGUUUAAAGGGUGCGUAGGCGGAAUUGUAAGUCCGUGGUGAAAUCUCCGAGCUUAACUCGGAAACUGCCGUGGAUACUAUAAUUCUUGAAUGUUGUGGAGGUUAGCGGAAUAUGUCAUGUAGCGGUGAAAUGCUUAGAUAUGACAUAGAACACCGAUUGCGAAGGCAGCUGGCUACACAAAUAUUGACGCUGAGGCACGAAAGCGUGGGGAUCAAACAGG